CAAGAAGAGGGAGAGUCCUCAGAGAGUCCUCUCUCUCGGCAUGGACACAAAAGAAAAGCCAUGUGAGGACACAGAGAGAAGGUGGCUGUCUACGAGCUAGGAAGAAAGGCCUCACCGGAAACCAACCCUCACAGCAGCUCCAUCUUGGACUUCCAGCCUCCGGAACUGUGAGAAAAUAAAUGUUUGCAAUUCAGGGAGCUCCACCCAGCAGCAGCGUUUGACAGAGCUGUUCACUUCCUCUUCCUGGAGCUGUGGCUUCCAGAGCCCAUGCUCAGCAGUUCCCCUCCUUCUUCGACUGCUCCUCUCUUAGGCUCAGAGCCACUCAGACAUUGGGAAGCAAGUUUGUCAAGAUGACAGAGAACCGAGGUAAUGGAUUCGAGUGAUGAAACAGGAAGUUCAUUCAUGAGUUUUUGGCCACACCUCCAAAGUGACGACUUAGCCAGAAAUGGGAUAACUGGGUUUCCCUACUUCUCUUUUAUCAUCCUCAAUGAGAGUGACCAAAUAUUAGAGCUAGAUGGAACCUUAGUGAAAAUCUGGCUACUCGUCCCGUCCCACCAGCCUGCCACCCAUUUCAAGUUUGAAGAGACAAAGACACAUGGACCUUAUGUAAUUACUGGGGAUUACCCCAGGAGUCUGUGGCAAAAGUCAGCUUCUUCCCUCCCUGCUUCCCCGCCCUGUCUCUGGUACUUUCUACCAACACUGGGCUGUUUCUGUGAUCACACUUAAGCGUACCUAACCUGCGAAUGCUGUAUAGAAGGUGCUAAUGAACAUGAUUUAGCUUUAACACUCAGUUUUCUAAAGGGACACGUGGGGGCAGCAAAUGUUUAGGCAAAAACAAUUCCAGUUCUAGCCUCUACUGUCUACAUAUGUGUAUACAUUUGGGAAACGUUUGGGAAAGGGAUAUUU
rnacentral:lncRNA from 1 species